AAGUCUAUGAUUAUGGUUGUUGUG
rnacentral:siRNA from 1 species